UACGUAGGGGGCAAGCGUUGUCCGGAUUUAUUGGGCGUAAAGAGCGUGUAGGCGGUUUGGUAGGUCCGCUGUGAAAACUCGAGGCUCAACCUCGAGACGCCGGUGGAAACCAUCAGGCUAGAGUCCGGAAGAGGAGAGUGGAAUUCCUGGUGUAGCGGUGAAAUGCGCAGAUAUCAGGAAGAACACCCGUGGCGAAGGCAGCUUCCUGGCCCAAUUCUGACGCUGAGGUGCGAAAGCGUGGGUAGCGAACGGG
rnacentral:rRNA from 1 species